GUAGGGUCCGAGCGUUAUCCGGAAUCAUUGGGCGUAAAGAGCUCGUAGGCGGUUCAGCAAGUCGGCUGUGAAAGUUCGAGGCCCAACCUCGAAAUUGCAGUCGAUACUGCUGUGACUUGAAUUCGGUAGAGGAGAAUGGAAUUCCCGGUGUAGCGGUGAAAUGCGCAGAUAUCGGGAGGAACACCAGUAGCGAAGGCGGUUCUCUGGGCCGAUAUUGACGCUGAGGAGCGAAAGCGUGGGGGGAGCAAACAGGAUUAGAUGCCCUGGUAGUCCACGCCCGUAAACCGUUGGAUGCUAGGUGUGGCGGUCUACCAACGACUGCCGUGCCGAAGCUAACGCAUUAAGCAUCCCCGCCUGGGGAGUACGGCCGCAAGGCUA
rnacentral:rRNA from 1 species